rnacentral:rRNA from 1 species
CAGGGAUUGCCUUAGUAACUGCGAGUGAAGCGGCAAGAGCUCAAAUUUGAAAUCUGGCACCUUCGGUGUCCGAGUUGUAAUUUGUAGAAGCAUCUUUUGGAUUGGUCCUUGCAUAUGUUCCUUGGAACAGGACAUCAUAGAGGGUGAGAAUCCCGUUCAUGGUGGGGAAUCCAAUUCUUUGUAAAGUGCUUUCGAAGAGUCGAGUUGUUUGGGAAUGCAGCUCUAAGUGGGUGGUAAAUUCCAUCUAAAGCUAAAUAUUGGCGAGAGACCGAUAGCGAACAAGUACAGUGAUGGAAAGAUGAAAAGAACUCCGAAAGGAGAGUGAAAAAGGACGUGAAAUUGUUGAAAGGGAAGUGCUUGAGAUCAGUCUUAAGGUUUAGUGAUCAGUCUUCCUUUUGGUUGGUGCACUCACUAUUUCUUAGGCCAACAUCAGUUUUCGCGGCAGGAUAAUGACAUUGGAAUGUGGCUCUUUCGGGAGUGUUAUAGCCUUUGUUGAUACUGCCUGCUUAGACUGAGGACCGCGCUUUUGCUAGGAUGUUGGCAUAAUGAUCUUAAGC